rnacentral:rRNA from 1 species
UAGGGAAUCUUCGGCAAUGGACGAAAGUCUGACCGAGCAACGCCGCGUGAGUGAAGAAGGUUUUCGGAUCGUAAAACUCUGUUGUUAGAGAAGAACAAGGACGUUAGUAACUGAACGUCCCCUGACGGUAUCUAACCAGAAAGCCACGGCUAACUACGUGCCAGCAGCCGCGGUAAUACGUAGGUGGCAAGCGUUGUCCAGAUUUAUUGGGCGUAAAGCGAGCGCAGGCGGUUUCUUAAGUCUGAUGUGAAAGCCCCCGGCUCAACCGGGGAGGGUCAUUGGAAACUGGGGGACUUGAGUGCAGAAGAGGAGAGUGGAAUUCCAUGUGUAGCGGUGAAAUGCGUAGAUAUAUGGAGGAACACCAGUGGCGAAGGCGGCUCUCUGGUCUGUAACUGACGCUGAGGCUCGAAAGCGUGGGGAGCAAACAGG